rnacentral:rRNA from 1 species
CGAGGAUUCCUCUAGUAACGGCGAGUGAAUGGGGAAAAGCCCAGCGCUGAAUCCAUUGGCCACUGGUCGCUUGGAAUUGUAGCGUAUAGGUGCGGUUGUCCGUUUGUUUCGCGCACCCAAAGUCCCCUUGAGUGGGGCUAUAGUCCAAAGAAGGUGCUAGACCUGUACGGGUGGCGAGACGAUCGGUUGAUUGCUCCUUGGAGUCGGGUUGCCUGGGAUCGCAGCCCAAAGUUGGUGGUAGACCUCAUCUAAGGCUAAAUAUGGCCACGAAACCGAUAGCAAACAAGUACCGUGAGGGAAAGUGCAAAGAACUUUGAAGAGAGAGUUCAAGAGGGCGUGAAACCGCUGAGAUUGAAACGGAUAGAGUUGACUUAACUCGGCUGCAUUCAUCCGGUCGGUCUAGCGGUCCAAUGGUUUUGACUUCCUCGAAGAGGCGAACCGUCGGCAACUGUUGGGCAUUUGAUCGGUGUAUUUGCGGCUGGUAUGCGCUGAGAGCUUUGCGAUCGCGUGUUGACAAACGUGCAGUGGACCAUUCCUUCCGGGCGUGGAAACCUUCGCGCUUUGAGACAUGUCGGUUGUAAGGUUUUGAAGAUGGCGUCUCCGCUAUGGUGCGUCAGCUUUUUCGAGCUGUUGUGGCUGCUGGAUGGUCGCAUGCGACUAUCUGCAGUCAUCGAUGGUGCGAGAUGAGUGUGGACGCGGCGAGGCGUUGAUCUCGGUGUGAACGUCGACCACCUAUCCGA